CUUCCUUUACCAGAUUUAUCAAUAGAAGGGGAAGUAUCGUCACUUACUUUUGGAGCUUUCAUCUUUUCAACUGAUUUUCCCUUUACCUUCUUCUCAGCAACACUUGAUUGAAUUUUGGAUUUGGAAGCACGAACAAUUGUAACAGGGACGGCGUCCUUGAUGAUCUUUGAUGGUUCGAUUUUUGCUUUUGAUCGAGUAGAACGGCCGGACUUUGUAGUUUGUGAUGAUUCAGACAUGUUUGGAUGAAGGUUUUUGAAGUUGAAUAGAUGGAGUUUGA
rnacentral:lncRNA from 1 species